rnacentral:lncRNA from 1 species
GGUUGUCAGAUAAAGUGAAGUACAAUUGUUUAAGCAUACUUGAAUUUAAAUGUUCAACAUUAAAAAAAAAAACUCAACCCUAAUCAUGUUGAUAUUUUAUUAUAUAAAAAUGUUUUUCUGUUACAAAUCAUGAUGUAUUGUUCUAUGUGUACAUGUUAUGCUGCCCAUCAAGGGCCCUUGAUUGGAAUAAUAAAAUAUUCUUAUUCUUAU